GUGCCUUAAACUAAUGAGUAAGGAAAAUAUAGAGCCUUGGUGACGCUUGGCUCCGCUAGCCAAACUAGCACCAUAAAUUUUUGACGAGGUUCAGGUCGUCCCCUUGAGCAGCCUGUCUACUUUUACAGAUUGCUCGGGUGACAGCGAUCUACCUC